UCCCGUUUAGCUCAGUUGGUAGAGCGCGUCACUAGUAUUACGUAAUGACGAGGUCAGUCGUUCAAAUCGGCUAAUGGGAA
rnacentral:tRNA from 1 species